UACGUAGGGCGCAAGCGUUGUCCGGAAUUAUUGGGCGUAAAGAGCUCGUAGGCGGUUUGUCGCGUCUGCUGUGAAAACCUAAGGCUCAACCUUGGGCUUGCAGUGGAUACGGGCAGGCUAGAGUUCGGCAGGGGAGACUGGAAUUCCUGGUGUAGCGGUGAAAUGCGCAGAUAUCAGGAGGAACACCGGUGGCGAAGGCGGGUCUCUGGGCCGAUACUGACGCUGAGGAGCGAAAGCGUGGGGAGCGAACAGG
rnacentral:rRNA from 1 species